rnacentral:rRNA from 1 species
AACGAACGCUGGCGGCUUGCCUAACACAUGCAAGUCGAACGAGACCUUCGGGUCUAGUGGCGCACGGGUGCGUAACGCGUGGGAACCUGCCCUUAGGUUCGGAAUAACUCCCCGAAAGGGGUGCUAAUACCGGAUAAUGUCUUCGGACCAAAGAUUUAUCGCCUUUGGAUGGGCCCGCGUUGGAUUAGCUAGUUGGUAGGGUAAAAGCCUACCAAGGCGACGAUCCAUAGCUGGUCUGAGAGGAUGAUCAGCCACACUGGGACUGAGACACGGCCCAGACUCCUACGGGAAGCAGCAGUGGGGAAUAUUGGACAAUGGGCGAAAGCCUGAUCCAGCAAUGCCGCGUGAGUGAUGAAGGCCUUAGGGUUGUAAAGCUCUUUUACCCGGGAUGAUAAUGACAGUACCGGGAGAAUAAGCUCCGGCUAACUCCGUG